AAAGCGUUCUCGGCGGCAGCGCAACAACUAGAACCGUGAGAACGCGUCCAGCAACCGCGACCACGACGACGUCACCUCGGGCACGCCCAAGGAGAAGAAAGCCCAGACCUCUAAGAAGAAGCAGAGCUCCAUGGCCAAGGCGUAGCGGCAGGCGUCCCCCGCAGACCUCCCCAUCGACCCCAGCGAGCCCUCCUACUGGGAGAUGAUCCGCUGCGACAACGAAUGCCCCAUCGAGUGGUUCCGCUUCUCGUGUGUGAGUCUCAACCAUAAACCAAAGCGCAAGUGGUACUGUUCCAGAUGCCGGGGAAAGAACGAUGGGCAAAGCCCUUGAGAAGUCCAGAAAAAAAACAGGGCUUAUAACAGGUAGUUUGGGGACAUGCGUCUAAUAGUGAGGAGAACAAAAUAAGCCAGUGUGUUGAUUACAUUGCCACCUUUGCUGAGGUGCAGGAAGUGUAAAAUGUAUAUUUUUAAAGAAUGUUGUUAGAGGCCGGGCGCGGUGGCUCACGCCUGUAAUCCCAGCACUUUGGGAGGCCGAGGCGGUCGGAUCACGAGGUCAGGAGAUCGAGACCAUCCUGGCUAACACGGUGAAACCCCGUCUCUACUAAAAAUUCAAAAAAAAAAUUAGCUGGGCGUGGUGGCGGGCGCCUGUAGUCCCAGCUAUUCGGGAGGCUGAGGCAGGAGAAUGGCAUGAACCUGGGAGGUGGAGCUUGCAGUGAGCCAAGGUCGCGCCACUGCACUCCAGCCUGGGCGACAGAGCGAGACUCCAUCUCA
rnacentral:lncRNA from 1 species